AGGCGACGGGGUAGGGGUUGGCGCUCAGGCGGCGACCAUGGCGUAUCACGGCCUCACUGUGCCUCUCAUUGUGAUGAGCGUGUUCUGGGGCUUCGUCGGCUUCUUGGUGCCUUGGUUCAUCCCUAAGGGUCCUAACCGGGGAGUUAUCAUUACCAUGUUGGUGACCUGUUCAGUUUGCUGCUAUCUCUUUUGGCUGAUUGCAAUUCUGGCCCAACUCAACCCUCUCUUUGGACCGCAAUUGAAAAAUGAAACCAUCUGGUAUCUGAAGUAUCAUUGGCCUUGAGGAAGAAGACAUGCUCUACAAAUGGUUUUGUUUUGCAGGUCACGAGAAGAGAAUGCCUUCUAGAUGCAAAAUCACCUCCAAACCAGACCACUUUUCUUGACUUGCCUGUUUUGGCCAUUAGCUGCCUUAAACGUUAACAGCACAUUUGAAUGCCUUAUUCUACAAUGCAGCGUGUUUUCCUUUGCCUUUUUUGCACUUUGGUGAAUUACGUGCCUCCAUAACCUGAACUGUGCCGACUCCACAAAACGAUUAUGUACUCUUCUGAGAUAGAAGAUGCUGUUCUUCUGAGAGAUACGUUACUCUCUCCUUGGAAUCUGUGGAUUUGAAGAUGGCUCCUGCCUUCUCACGUGGGAAUCAGUGAAGUGUUUAGAAACUGCUGCAAGACAAACAAGACUCCAGUGGGGUGGUCAGUAGGAGAGCACGUUCAGAGGGAAGAGCCAUCUCAACAGAAUCGCACCAAACUAUACUUUCAGGAUGAAUUUCUUCUUUCUGCCAUCUUUUGGAAUAAAUAUUUUCCUC
rnacentral:lncRNA from 1 species